rnacentral:tRNA from 1 species
AUUCAUAUAGUUUAAAUAAAACAUUACAUUUUCAUUGUAAAAAUAAAUGACAUUUUAUGAGUU